rnacentral:tRNA from 1 species
UGCCGAUUAGUGUAAUGGUAGCACACCUGACUCUGACUCAGUUUGUCUGGGUUCAAAUCCUAGAUCGGCAGCCA